rnacentral:rRNA from 1 species
AAACUUUCAACAACGGAUCUCUUGGUUCCGGCAUCGAUGAAGAACGCAGCGAAAUGCGAUACGUAAUGUGAAUUGCAGAAUUCCGUGAAUCAUCGAAUCUUUGAACGCACAUUGCGCCCCCUGGUAUU